GGCUCGUUGGUCUAGGGGUAUGAUUCUCGCUUUGGGUAGAGCGUCCGGGUUCAAAUCCCAGACGAGCCC
rnacentral:tRNA from 1 species